GCAUGUCUCAGUACAAACCAAAAUAAGGUGAAACCGCGAAAGGCUCAUUAAAUCAGUUAUGGUUCCUUAGAUCGUACCCACAUUUACUUGGAUAACUGUGGUAAUUCUAGAGCUAAUACAUGCACACAGAGCUCCAACCGGAUACGGAAGGAGUGCUUUUAUUAGAUCAAAACCAAUCGGCGACAAUGUAGUUCCGCUAUGUUGUUUGUCGCAAUACUUGGUGACUCUGAAUAACUUUUAGCUGAUCGCACGGUCUUGCACCGGCGACGCAUCUUUCAAAUGUCUGCCUUAUCAACUGUCGAUGGUAGGUUCUGCGCCUACCAUGGUUGUAACGGGUAACGGGGAAUCAGGGUUCGAUUCCGGAGAGGGAGCCUGAGAAACGGCUACCACAUCCAAGGAAGGCAGCAGGCGCGCAAAUUACCCACUCCCGGCUCGGGGAGGUAGUGACGAAAAAUAACGAUACGGGACUCAUCCGAGGCCCCGUAAUCGGAAUGAGAACACUUUAAAUCCUAUAACAAAAGUCCAUUGGAGGGCCAGUCUGGUGCCAGCAGCCGCGGUAAUACCAGCUCCAAUAGCGUAUAUUAAAAUUGUUGCGGUUAAAAAGCUCGUAGUUGAAUUUGUGUCCCGCGCUGUCGGUUCACCGCCCGCGGUGUUUAACUGGCACGUCUCGCGGGACGUCCUGCCGGUGGGUGUGUGGUCUUUGUCUACUUCCCCACCGUAUUAUGCGUGUGCCUUCGGGUUACUGCAUAUAUGGUGUGUGGGGUUUCAAUUGUACCACCAUCCGUCUAAGUUUUCCUGUCGCGGUGCUCUUAAUUGAGUGUCGAGGCGGGCCGGCACGUUUACUUUGAACAAAUUAGAGUGCUUAAAGCAGGCGAAAAUUUUGCCUGAAUAUUGUGUGCAUGGAAUAAUGGAACAGGACCUCGGUUCUAUUUUGUUGGUUUUCGGAACCCCGAGGUAAUGAUUAAUAGGGACAGAUGGGGGCAUUCGUAUUGCGACGUUAGAGGUGAAAUUCUUGGAUCGUCGCAAGACGGACAGAAGCGAAAGCAUUUGCCAAAAAUGUUUUCAUUAAUCAAGAACGAAAGUCAGAGGUUCGAAGGCGAUCAGAUACCGCCCUAGUUCUGACCAUAAACGAUGCCAGCUAGCGAUCCGCCGACGUUCCUCCGAUGACUCGGCGGGCAGCUUCCGGGAAACCAAAGCUUUUGGGAUCCGGGGGAAGUAUGGUUGCAAAGCUGAAACUUAAAGGAAUUGACGGAAGGGCACCACCAGGAGUGGAGCCUGCGGCUUAAUUCGACUCAACACGGUACAACCUACCAGGCCCGGACACCGGAAGGAUUGACAGAUUGAGAGCUCUUUCUUGAUUCGGUGGGUGGUGGUGCAUGGCCGUUUUUAGUCGGUGGAUUGAUUUGUCUGGUUAAUUCCGUUAACGGACGAGACUCUAACCUGCUAACUAGGCGUUAUUUACCGGUAUCCUGAAGGCUCGUGUCUCCCGUUCCCUCUUUUAUGGUAACUGUUAUGUUUUAGCGUUUCCGACGUUACUGCAUACUUUAUUAUAAAUGUAGCGCGGGUUGUUACACGGUUUUUACUACCGGCGUCCACAUGAAUCUUCUUAGAGGGACAGGCGGCUUUUAGCCGCACGAGAUUGAGCAACAACAGGUCCGAAAUGCCCUUAGAUGUUCUGGGCCGCACGCGCGCUACACUGAAGGAAUCAGCGUGUUUUCCCUGGCCGAACGGUCCGGGUAACCCGUUGAACCUCCUUCGUGCUAGGGAUUGGGGCUUGCAAUUUUUCCCCAUGAACGAGGAAUUCCUAGUAAGCAUAAUUCAUUAAAUUGUGUUGAUUAGGUCCCUGUCCUUUGUACACACCGCCCGUCGCUACUACCGAUUGAAUGAUUUAGUGAGGUCUUC
rnacentral:rRNA from 1 species